rnacentral:rRNA from 1 species
GUGGGGAAUCUUCCGCAAUGGACGAAAGUCUGACGGAGCAACACCGCGUGAGUGAAGAAGGUUUUCGGAUCGUAAAGCUCUUUCGUUAGGGACGAACGUGCUCUUUGUGAAUAAUGAGGAGUAAUGACGGUACCUAAAUAAGAAGCCACGGCUAACUACGUGCCAGCAGCCGCGGUAAUACGUAGGUGGCAAGCGUUGUCCGGAAUUAUUGGGCGUAAAGCGCGCGCAGGCGGGAUAUCAAGUCUGUCUUAAAAGUGCGAGGCUCAACCUCGUGAGGGGACAGAAACUGGUAUUCUUGAGUGUCGGAGAGGAAAGUGGAAUUCCAAGUGUAGCGGUGAAAUGCGUAGAGAUUUGGAAGAACACCAGUGGCGAAGGCGACUUUCUGGACGAUGUCUGACGCUGAGGCGCGAAAGCUAGGGGAGCGAACGGGAUUAGAUACCCGGGUAGUCC